AAAAAAAAAGCUUAUAAUAAAAACUUAGAUAUUUUAAAUUAUUAAGAAGGGUAAAAAAAUUAAUUUAAAUUUUUAAUAAGUAAAAUUAUUAUAUAUUUAAUAAUAUAUAAAAAAAAACAUAAAAUUAAAAAUUCCCGAAUAGGUUAACCUUAAAUGAAAUUUAUUAAUAUAUAUAAUAUAUAAAAUUUUAAAAACUUGUUUAAUUGAAAUAUCUUAAUAUACAAAGAAAAAAAAAAACAAAAGUGAUUUCUUUAGUAAUGAUGAAUAAAAAAGAAAAAAGUCUAAAAUAUAAAUAUAUUUAUUUUUAAUAAAUAAAAUAUACUAUAAUAAAAGGAAUAAUAUAUAAAUAUUUUUAUUUUAUAAAUAAAAAAAAUAAUAAAAUAUUAUACCUAAGAUGGUUUUUAGUCCAAUUAUUAAUAUAUAAAAUAUAAAAAAAAUUCAUAUAUAAUAAAUGAUAUAUUUUAUAUUUAAUUUUUAAAUAAAUAUAAAAUAUAUCAUUUUUUUAAUCCUAAAUAAUAUAAUAAUAUUAAAUAUAUUGUAUUAAUAUAUCGAAGACCACUUCGUAAGACUAAAUAUUAAAAAAUAAUCUAUAGUAUAUAUAAAAGUACCGUGAGGGAAAGUUGAAAUAAAAAAAUAUAAGUGAAAAAUUUAAAAUUAUAAGUUAAUAAAUUAUAGAAAAUUUUAUUAUUAAAAAAAAAUUAACUAUGUGCCUGUUGAAGAAUGAACUGUCGACUUAUAAAUAUUGGCUAAAAUAAAUAUAUAUAUAUUAUUUAUUAUAUUUAGAUUAAAUAUAUAAAAUAUAUGAAAUCAUAGUGAAAACAAUUAUUAAAAAUAAAAUUAUUAUUAAUAUAGUAUAGUAUCAUUAUUAUAUUAUAUAAUAUUCAUCGGUCAAUAUUUAUAAACCCGAAUCUAAGUGAUCUAUUUAUAAUCAAGAUGCAAUUUAAUUAAAAUUAAAUGAAAGUCUGAACUGAUUAAUAAUAUAAAAUUAUCAGAUGAAUUAUAAUUAGAAAGGUGAAAUGCUAUUCGAACUUAGAAAUAGCUGGUUCUCCUCGAAAUGUAUUUAAGUACAGCAAUUUAAUUUUAUAUUUUAGGGAUAUUUAUUUUUUUAUAAUUAAAUUUAAAAAUUUAUUAAAUACUAAAAAUUAAAAUAAAUAAAUUAGUGAGACAUAAUUAGGGGUAAGCUUAAAUGUCAAAAGGGAUACAGCCCUUAUUAUUAAUUAAGGUCCUUAAAAAAUAAAUUAGUGAUAUAGAUAAAAAAUAAAGAUGUAAAAAUAUAUAAAUAAUUAGAAGGUUUGAUUAGAAGCAUCUAUCCUUUAAAAAAUGCGUAAAAGCUUACUAAUUUAAUAUUUUUGUACUAAAAAUAUUAAAAGGACUAAUUUAUUUACCGAAAUUUUAAAAUUUUUAAAUAAAAUUGGUAGAGGAGCGUUUUGUAAAAAAAAAAUUAACAAAAAUGAAAAUGUCAGUUUAAAUAAUAAAAUAUUAGUUUAUAAUAAAAAUCUAAUAUCCUAAAAAUCUAAGGUUUAAAAAAAAAAUUUUAGUCAAGACUUAAGAUUUAUUCAAAAUUGAAUAAUCGAUAGAUAAUAGUUAAAAAAUUUCUAUACUAUUUAUUUUUAUAAAAAUUUAUUUAAAAAUUUUUAAAAUAAUAUUUUUAAAUAAAGAAGAAGGUUUUUUUAAUUAAAUAUUAUAAAUAAUAUUUAAUAAAAAAGUAUAAAUUAAUUUAAUAAAAAGAAAAUAAAAUUUUCUAAUUAAUACUUUGAAUUUUUUUAUAUAAAAAAUAUAUCAUACUUCCUGGAAAAAAAUAAUAUUAUUUUUUUAAUAAAAUAAAUACUUGUACCAAAACCAAUACAGGUAGAUAAAUCGAAAAUAUUAAAGGAAUCAAAUUAAAUUUUUUUAAGGAACUAGGCAAAAUAAUCCUGUAACUUAGGGAUAAAGGAUAUCUUAAAUUUUAUUUAUAUUUUAAGAUUACAAUAAAUAUAUCCUAACGACUGUUUAACAAAAACACAAGUUUUCGUUAAAUCAUAAGAUUAUACAUGAAAGCUGACGCCUGCCCAGUGCUAUAUAUAUAAAAAUAUAUAAGUUUUAAUUGAUAACAAUUUUAUAGCUAAAAAUCUAAAUUAUAGUAAACGGCGGCUGUAACUAUAACGGUCCUAAGGUAGCAAAAUUCUUUGUCGGGUAAGUUCCGACCUGCAUAAAAGGCGUAACGAUUGGGAUACUGUCUUAAAAAAAUAUUUGAUAAAAUAAAAAUGUUUGUAAAGAUGCAAACUACUUAUACUUAGACAAAAAGACCCUAUGAAACUUUACUGUUAUUUAAUAUUGAAUAAAAAAUAUUUUUAUAGUUAUUAAUAUAAUAAAAAAUAAUUAAGUGGGAUGAAAAAAUUAAUAUUUUCAAAAAUUGUAAAACCACUAAAAAAUAAAUUUAUUCUAAUUUAUUUUUAUUUAAAAUAUAAAGAAAUUUUUAGAUAGACAGUUUAUAUGGGGCGUAUACCUCCCAAAAAGUAACAGAGGUGCACAUUUUUAUGUAAAUUAAAAAAAAGAUUUUUUAUAAUUAAAAAAUAAAAUUUUAUUAAUUUUUGUAAUGUAAAGAUAUAAAAAAAUUUGAUUGUAAGACAUAUAUGUUUAACAAGGAUUAAAAUCGGUCUUAGUGAUCCAACAAAAAAAUUCUUAGUGGAAAGUUUGUUGAUUAACAAAUAAAAGUUACUCUAGGGAUAACAGGCUUAUCUUUCUUAAAAGUUCAUAUUAAUAGAAAGGUUUGGCACCUCGAUGUCGGCUCUUCGCUUCCUGAAAUAGUAAUAUAUUUCAAAGGUUGGGUUGUUCGCCCAUUAAAGCGGUACGUGAGCUGGGUUCAGAACGUCGUGAGACAGUUCGUUUUAUAUCUAGUAUAAGCGUUAGAAUAUUGAAAAGAUUUUUUUAUAGUACGAAAGGACCUAAAAAAAUACAUCACUGAUAUAUCAGUUAUUAAUACGAUAAGUAAUUGCUGAAUAGUUAAAUGUAAAAUUAUUAAUUACUGAAAAAAUAUUAAGUAAUAAAAAUACUUUAAGAUGAAUAUUCUUUU
rnacentral:rRNA from 1 species